UGAGAAUUCAUGAACAUACUACUUAUUUUGUUCCAGGGGCAAAAUAGUAAUUAUACAUUAUCAUCGACGCAAUCGUUACAAUAAUUCUCACCUCCCUUGUAGACAGGGCGGACGGUCUACAAGGAGUGAAUGCACAACUCAGGAUCUCCGUAGGCCUACGGUAGCCAACUGGGCCCAGCCCCAGCUGGUGGCCAACUAGUCACUCCCCCCUAAAGAGCCUUAGGAACAACUUGGCUUGUGGCAGGAGGAGACAUCAACAUGUCUCAUAUGAUACCCCCCAAAAUAAAUACAGGGAAAGGAAUUACAACAAAUUGUCUCGGCCCUUAUCUUCCUAAUAAUCUCUACUAAUUUAUCCCAUUAUUGUUUCCUGGGAACUCCAAUAUUGGAAAAUUACAAUUUUGGUCCCUGAAAACUGUAUGACCCUGACACUCUCCCACUUAAACGGUCGACGUCCUUGUCGACUGAGUUUUGUUGGGGUUCUUCAAUCUUCGAGUCCGACGUUCUUAGGCUUGCUCGCUGUGGAAUCUGAUUCCAGUCCUGGUUGAUUAAAUUGUUGGACAGCCUUACUCCUUUUGUAUGAAAUCGUUUAGUUCUUGGUAUCUCUGUGAACUGCUAGUUCUUUGUGAUGAUGAAACUACGAAAAGCUCUAUAUUCUGGUAGUAAAUGUUCUGCCCUUGAUUCCUUAGUCUACUGCAAAUGGUGCGAGAAAUUGUUACUUUACUCCUUUGCACGAACUUAUUGCUUGAACUCAUUGAUCACUGGUUCUUUUCUCCUAAACAUGUCUCGCCAUUACUUGUCUUUAAUUAUCGACCUUACUCUUCGCCUCAAUAGCACAACCCCAUCGUGCAACAAAUCUAUCAACCUGCAUACACUCAUGCCGCACGACAUUGUGAUUAACUUGUAAUAGUCUCAUAAAAAAGAUUAGUACUAACCACGUCAGAUUCCAAUACGAAUUAGUAUAGCAAGUCAUCUAGAAUACAACCCAUUACAAAUCAACAGGUGUGCCAACAGCACUUGACCACUAAGACUUGAACGGCCUUUACCCAUCCCCUUGACAUAACACCACGUUAUUCCACUUGUAGUGAAGCUCGGCGAAUACUCCUAAGAAAUCGAUGUCUCCAUUGUCAAAAGAGUUUGCUCAACACUCUCUUUCUCUUUUGUACGUCUUACAGUCCUCCCCUUCAUAAGCUCUGGUAUUAUGCUCACUUUAUCUCCUUUUCCUCUCCCUAAGAAUGUAGUUUAUGCAGAUGCCUACAAAACGACACACAUUACACACAAAAUAACCACGACCACUGAACCCUAUGAACCGCAGAAAUCUACUCAAAACAGCUAUUAAGAAUGACUAUACAUAAAGCAAUUAAUAUCAUCAUUAUGAUUCGACAAUCAGAAAUUACUAGAAGAUACCCCCUUUAUUAUACCACUUUCAUCAUAGCUCCCAACAUCGACUUGCCUCACCAACUUGCCUUAAGCAACCUGUGGUUCUCGACCUUUCUCGGUCCUCCUCUACGUUGAUCCACUUGUAGGAACUUUUGUUUGGCCAUGAGGUCUCUUUCCUGCUCAACAAUAAGAGUAGGACUAAAUUUGUCCUUUUAAUUACACAUUAUUUUCCAAUCCCUUUUAAGGAAGCUAUAUCCUGUAUGUUCAUAAUAUUUGUUAGCACCAACUUGUCAAGUCCCACAUCACAAGGAACCUGACUCAAUAAUACACAAAAUAUUUCAGAAUAAAUGAAUAACUAAAAUGAAGUAAGACAAAGAAUGAUAUCAAGAAACACAAAAGCAUUAUACUCAUCUGAUGUGAGAGGGUUCCCUCUCGUUAAAUUCCCUCUCGUUAAAUUCCCUUCUCUCGUACUGAAUUAUCAUUAAGAAUCUCAAUCUCUUCUCAUUACCUUGAGCCCCACACUCCUUUGACUAGUUCAAUGGUCUUCACUUUUGCCAGUUUUCACUUAUCCUCCUUCUUUUUGUCGUAGGACGAGUGAAUUGUUUGCUUUCACAACACUGUUGCUCCCAACGGAAUUUGAUACAACUCUCGCCCAAUGUUACCCUACAUUCCUCUUGGUUGUCCUAUCAAGAUGUUCACUUACCUCAAAGAGAAUGAACAUGUGCUCGACAAUCAUAAUUGGUUGACACCUAUCAUACAUUGUUUCAUCCUCUUGUACUUAUUAUUUUCCUUUUUAGGGUAUGCCCUUCCUAUUUUGAUGCUCGUUUUCUAUAUUCUUGUAAAGUAUAUGUUUUGAGAGAUGAGGCAACCACCACCUUUGAUCUAUCACCAUCUCAUCCAUACCAGUGUUUCACAUGGAUCCCUCAAGACUUUUCCCUCUGCACUAACAACGCUGCACAACAUAGCAAGAGUUAUAGGAGCGAUAGCUUGCUCACUAGAUACGCACCAGGAUCAAGUAAUUUAUAAAAGAAUAUCAUAACAGUCGAUAACCAUUGUACUCAUUUCUCAUAAACACCACCUUUAUUUAUUUUGUUCCACUUACUCACAAAUAGACAAUCCUUCAUCGAAUGCUACUUUUUGUCGAGUUUACUCUUGCACCCCCUCGUGCUGGAUAGCCACUAGUUUCUUCUUCACUACUCUCUAUUACCUCUCCUUUAUCAAGGAAUAAUUAUUGGUCAAAAACAGAGAUAACUUGUGUCAUUCUGGGAGACGCCACACCUAUUAACGUCUCGGGUUCACUACAAGGAGGAAUUGUGAAGUCCAUCUUGCUUUUUGAUGUCCUUGAUUAAGCGAGUUUGUCAAAGGACAUGCUCACAUUAAUCCCUACACUCAAGUUGUUUGCUUUAUCUCUUUCCCCAUAUCAUCCACUUCAGUUUUAGUCUUGAUUCUAGAAAUUGUAUAAACAGUCCAUGAAUCUUGUAUUUGUGCCCGCUUUGUAGCAUCAACUCCAAUAUACCUGACACCGGCCAACGAUAUAUUGUUUUAUACUAGCUCCGAUUCUCAUUUCUUCUCUUAAAGUCCUCAAGGAGACUUUAAAGAUCUCCUCCUCCAUCUCAUGUCCCUUAUUUGACACAACACUCGCAGAAUAUCUCCACCAUGCUUGAUCCCUUCACGCGAACAAUACUACCUUAGGCGGGGAGGAACAAGAAAGUACAAACAACCUAGAGUUGACAACUCUAUGAUUUAUACCUUAUGUUCCCUCCUCCCUUACUCACCAAGUCCUUCAAGAACUUCGAAGCAUUUCUGCACAAGCAAUUUGUAGAAUAAUAUGGCUUUCUUCAUAGAGAACACUUCAUACUGCUUAGUUAUGCCACUUCUAUGUCAUCUUAUUAAUCACAUUUCAGAUCGCUCCCCCAUUUACUGCUUUAGCCCAUCUUCUUAGGUGGCUAUCAAUCAGAUACCAGAAUUGAACAUCUCUUUAACUCCUUGGUAACAGAAUCAACUCAAUCUUGAUCACCCUUUGCUCUACACCAUAUUCCUCCAAGUUUUGACCUUAUUCAGGAAGGUUUUAAGCUCAGUCAUGUCUCUUGAAUUUGUUGUCACGAUUUGCUUACUCUAUUAAAAUCAAGUGCCACAUUCUUUUGUGUCAGCCAUAGAUGCUGAAUAGUUCCUUUAUGUACUUUCCUUAAGAACACCUUGUUGGAGUUUACCAACUCUCUUGAAUAGCAAAUGUUACAUUCUUGUAGUAAAACUGAAGCUUGCCAUUUCCUAUCCCUUUUCUCAUGUAUAGUGUGAACGCUCUCUAUCCAUAGGACUUUACACUUUCAUCCUUCGAAUAAAUAUAGCUUUAUAGUUCGAUCACAUAAAUAUUGUUCUUUUAUAUAUCUGCACAGUCACAAUUCCCAAUAAUAUUAAUAAAUCAGUUCAUAUUAAAGAGAAAAAUUAUUUACCUCCAUCCCACGACAAGGAUUGAGGUUUUGGGAUUCCACCCAUGCCUACUUCAUAGGCAUUAGUUCGUAAUUCACACCAUUGAUAAGUGUACCUCUGGUCCACUUUUGAAGUAUUGCUCAUAGUCUCUCCUAUGUUACAUUUAAUAUUCNNNNNNNNNNNNNNNNNNNNNNNNNNNNNNNNNNNNNNNNNNNNNNNNNNNNNNNNNNNNNNNNNNNNNNNCUUGCACCAUUCCUGCAAGCAAAAAAAAAAAAAAAAUACAUGAGAGGCUUUUGCCUCAAUUUUGUCUCGGGAGGCCUCUUGCCUCAAUUCUAUCUCGGGAGACCUCUUGCCUCAAUUCUAUCUCAGGAGGCCUCUUGCCUCAAUUCUAUCUCAAGAGGCCUCUUGCCUCAAUUCUGUCUCGUGAGGCCUCUUGCCUCAAUUUUGAGUGGAAAGGUCUCGAGAUUCUCGGAUGGCCUCAAGCUCUAUUGGCUCAUCCUCCCCCUUAUCACUAUACCUUGAGGUCAUUACUCUCUCUCCAAGGGCCACUAAAAGGAAGAAGUAUGUAGCACCUAGUCAUUACCCUCUCUCCAGAAGACAUUUCCAAUGAAGUGUGCAGUACUAGGUCAUUACCUCUCUCUCAAUGGUGUCCCUAGUGGAGCGUGCAGCACCUCUAGUUAAUAUGGCCAGUCUAGCUCGAGAGCUCACGCUUUUGUCUUCUUUUGCCUCACAAUGUGCUACUACUCCUCGUAGCUUCAUAAUUGGGAGGUCACUGCCUCCCCCUUUCACCACUUUACGCUCAAGAUCACCCCACCGGGUGUCAUUCGCAUGAAAGAGGUUUUGGAAGGCCUCAAUCUCCCGCCAAUUUGGCCAUCCUUUAUCUUGCUCGCAGAUCUUUCUUGCUUUGAUACCAAUUGUCACGGUUUCAGAUUUUAGCCAUUGCCUGGAACUGUGCGGCACUUGACUUGAACACCUUCAAGCCAAGUCAGCCUUAAGAAUCACUCGAUACCCUGUGAAUAUGAGUACCCUGAUUAGUCAAGGUUAUAUAAGCGAAUAGCGAAGCCAACAGGCGGCCUUCCAUUAAAAGCCUCACAGUAGGCACAAACGAAAAGAAUUGAACAUGAGAAUUCAUGAACAGACUACUUAUUUUAUUCCAGAGGCAAAAUAGUAAUUAUACAUUAUCAUCGACACAAUCGUUACAAUAAUUCUCACCUCCCUUGUAGACAGGGCGGACGGCCUACAAGGAGUGAAUGCACAACUCAAGAUCUCCGUAGGCCUACGGUAGCCAACUGGGUCCAGUCCCAGCUGGUGGCCAACUAGUCACUCCCCCCUAAAGAGCCUUAGGAACAACUUGGCUUGUGGCAGGAGGAGACAUCAACAUGUCUCAUAUGACACCCCCCAAAAUAAAUACACGGAAAGGAAUUACAACAAAUUGUCUCGGCCCUUAUCUUCCUAAUAAUCUCUACUAAUUUAUCCCAUUAUUGUUUCCUGGGAACUCCAAUAUUGGAAAAUUACAGUUUUGGUCCCUGAAAACUCUAUGACCCUGACACUGUGCAAGCAGGAGAAUGGGCGUUGGUUAUAGAUGAUCUCAUUGCAACUGGAAGGACCUUAUGUGCUGUGAUCAAGCUACUUGGCACUGUUGUAAGCUUAAAUUGCAGUGUAACUUAUGGUUGUGGCUGCCUCUUUAGUCUUUCGAUAUAUUACCUUUCCCUAUAUUUAUUUAUAUUUGGUUUAAGACUUUAGAGAAGAGAGAAGUGGGCUUAAGCAGUUCCAAUGUUAUCCUUUUCAAUUGAAAAAGGGUUCUCCUUCGUUUGAGGAGUAUGGUAAAUGUAUUGUUUGAAUUGGCAUCUGGCAAACAAAAUAUUUUCUGGAAGCCAUUCUAAGCAAAAGUUAGGACUGUCUCUAUUGCAAUGCAGGUUUCACUUGCAAGAGUUAGGUUUGAGUAGCACUAGGAAUGACGUAUCCAUUAAACAUUAAUGUUGCAAUUCUUAGGUGAUUGAAAUUUUUGUUUUGGUUAAUGAUGUAUGCCGCUUAAGUUUGGUCUGCCUACACCAAAAAUUUUGUUGAAAGCAUGCUCAUUUGUUUGCAGAGUCCCAUCAAUGGUUAUUAAAUUACCUGAUGGUUAGUCUUCUUUGUGUUGUCAGAGUAUGCAUCUUCCAUCCUUAACUGAUCUUCUAGAGUAAAUCUAGUUCAAUGUGCUCGUGUCAUUGAAUUGGCAGAGCUGAAGGUAUAUCCCCAAUUUAUCAUAUUGUGACAAUUAAUCAGAGUAUCUUGCAAGAUUGGAGAGCUUUACUCUUUUUAUUUUUUGGCUUAUUGACUGAAAAAUACCCAAUAUUUAUGUCAUUUUACAUUUUAAUCUAAACGUUUAAAUUUUGGAUGAAUUUACCUAAUAUUUGUAUUUGGUUGAUUUUGAUCAAUUUUUAAAAUUUAAAAUGUGAGUUUAGGU
rnacentral:lncRNA from 1 species